UGUUUUUUGUUUUAUUCAACGCCUGUGCGUAUGAAAACAGACGAUCAGUCAGAGGUCGAAGGAGUAGGGCACACGCUCGUUGAUUCUUUGACUCACCAGACGCCUCAGCUGAUAGGAGAUACAAAGACAACGAGCACGCCACACCUUCUACCUGUCGCUUCAACACCAACACCAACACCAACGUUUGCUCUCCCCUCUGGGUCUUGGCCUUUGUGGGAGACAUCGACGCCGGUUUCCUCAGUACCUCUGGAUCUACUAUCCGGACCGUUCCCUGCUGAAGACUCGACGUCGGCAUCUGGGCUAUCCGCACCUCCACAGCCACCGUCGCCGACACCAUCAGCACAGCCAGCAACCACAGACAAGCCGCGGACAUCGCCCCGGAUACCAA